ensembl:lncRNA
UUUUGUACCAGUUAAUGGACUUCCCAGUACUGUACCAGUCAACAUUCUGCCCUUUUAUAAAGAACUUGCAUUUAUGUAUUUUUUAAUUAUUGGAUGUACCUGUCUGCAGUGUUUGGGGCGUGGCUACUGUACCAGGCUGAACCAGCGAGUAUUUAUCGGAAAAUAAAUUCAGAUUACGAAAGUGCAAGGCAAAAUUCGAAGACUUGCCAAAUAACACAGAAAGCGACAAUGGUGUAAAAUAAGGAUAAACACUAGAGCAAUUUUUCUUUUACAAGAUAGAGGCAUUUGAUGGAAUGUUACGGUUUCAAUCUAUACGACGAAUUUGCGGAGUUUCUUCUCGACAGGAGCUGAGCAGAGCGAUUUACAGGCUGUCGGGUUGGCUUUGUUCCCGUGUAAGUCAAGUCUCGAUGGAGAAGAGACGCAUCAGUGCUCCAAAUGGCCCCAGCCGUCUCAUUGCAUUAUCUUCAAAUGGCACGUCUGAUGGAGAAGUUAGAGAACAGCUCUCCUUGCUUCUUUCAUUUAGAUUUGCCUCCCUUAUUAACAUGUAACGCACCUAGAUUGUCCUGUGUAUCUUUGUGUUAACCAAAAUUUAACAUGUUUACUUAAGUACAAGACCCUGGUCUUGGGGAUUUGUGGUUGUUUGUGCCAUGUCAUAUCCUCUAAACAAUCUUCAUAUGGAUUUAUAUUGUUCUGGGUGCUUUCUCAUUGAUAAAACAUCAACAAAGCGUUAAUACUGGGUCACCUAUUAUAGAGGGAGAUUAUGAGGAAGCUUUGAAAGCUUUCGAGCAGAAGAGGUGAGAGAACCAACUCCUUAUUCUGCCAGCGGCCGGUGUGUGGCUGCCUGGAGGGAAAGGAGCUCUGCACAUGAAAGCUUGUUGAUAAUUUCAUGAAUGCCUGCACUGAAACACACACACACACACACACACUUGUAUAUGGUCACAUUUAUGAACAUAUAUAAGUGUGUUUCAGUGUGCGCGCGUGUGUGUGUGUAUGUGUUUGUGUGUAUAUAUAUAUAUAUAUAUACAUACAUACAUUUGAUUAAAAAAAUACAGUAAAACAGUACAAAUUAUUACAUUUAAAAUUAUCACCUGAACAAUAUCUAAAAAUAUUUGAAUGAUUGAAUUACCUAUAUAAACUUUGACUGUUUUUUAAUACAAAACAAUGUCAACUUAAUUUGCUUGUGAUUUUCAGUGCUUCAAAUGUAUUUCAGAGAAUUGUAAUGUAUAAUGAGAGCAUUGGGUCUGAAUAAUAUGAAGCCACAGACAGAUAACUUUGACUGACAUGAAGCCUCACUGGUGCCUGACUAAUUGACAGCGUAAAUAUUGUCAAGCAUUAACUUUUUCAUGUGAAAGUGACUGAAUGACAGCCUGUUCGGCCUUCAGGUUCUCCAAGCAAUUUAUCAUCCUUAUCUACACUGGGGUAAUUUAUCUAGCUGAACAGAGAAAAUAUGUUUACACUGUGAUUCUAAUAGGAAAGACAUUUUGAUAUUUCACUUUUCUAAAUUACUUGUCAAGCAAGGUGUGUCAGCAGACAGAGGUGAAAUGACAACAUUUUCUCCCCACAAUUUCUCCCAAUUUAACUCUUUCACAAUGCUCCUACUUGACUGACAUUGAGGUUUUACUGUCUCUGCUUUGUUUGGGGAAAAAAAAAAGAAAUGUUAUACAUCUAUUAAAAGAAAAGUUUUAUAUGCAACAGAAUGAGAGUAAUCUAAUAUGAGUCCUUGUUGUUGCUAGGUACGAUAUUUUUAGUACAACAAUUACAUAGAGACAAUUAUAUCUCAGAUAGCAAUUAAUGGAAUAUAAUUAUCCACCACAUACAACCGCAAAACUUUCCAAGGCUAACAGAUAGCAGGUGUCAAGAGUGUAAUGAAAUCAUGUUAAAACAGAUUUAUAAACAUAUUCUGUGUUUAAAUAUUAUAGUCUAUCAUAGACCAUAUUUUCUGACUAGAAAGCUGCACACGUACAGCUUUUACAGCUGUGCACUAAUGUAACCAUGAAGUUAUUCUGCAAAUUUAAAUGAUGACCAAUGAUUUUUGCACUUAAAGACACCAGAUAUGAUUCAGUAGUACAAUUUUAUUUAAAACUAAAAAAGUCAGCAAGUUGCAAUUAAAUUAGUUCAAUGCACAAUAUAUAAUAGUUUUACAUUUUGGUAUGUGAUGCAUACAUUGUGCAACAACCUCUGAUUACUCAAAUAUACAUUAAUGGCUUGUUCCAGACAAACAAUAACACUUACUCUGUUCUGACGACACAUCGACUUAUACUUAUCCCUAUAAACAUUUUCUCUUACUCUGUACACACAAUAGACUGUCAAGAAGGCAAAUAUUGAUAUGUACAUUCAUGCAAUACAAUUCUGAGUACCUUAUACAGUAUAUUAUGUACAGUAUAAUACACAUAUAUCUUCAGUUCAUAUAUCUUGUUGAACAGGUGAAUGACUGUACAGUAGAUUGUGAGAAUGUUUUACAGAAUAUGAAGAGGGAUAUUUGUUCACACAAGCUUGUAUGUUAUGUAAACAUCAUUGCUCAGUAUGAUUCAUAGUUCAGUGUUACUAUGCAUGAACAGUGCAUCACUGUUUUCUACCACAAGCUCCUGUCUAUAAAAAAAGAGGGGGGAGGGGGGGAUCUAGACAUUUCGAUAUACAGUUCCAAUGAAAAAUAAAUGAAACAAUAUAGAGGAUCUAGAUACA